ACCUGCAUGGGCAGGUCGUUGCUUACCUGGAAACAACUCUGUGUUUACAGAAAGCUGUGGUUUGAGGGACCUUAUAAUUUACUACAAUUUAUUUCUUUCAUGAGUUAGUAGGUACAAAAAAGGCUUCUUUUUCUUCUUUCUUCAGCUGCAACAUAAUGAAGUGGCAUACAUCAAAAUCUGCAUUUCCACUGCAUACAAGGAGCAAGCUUUGCUGUACACAGGGCUCAGUUGUCAUGGAAGGAAGACAGGGUUGAAGUGACCACACACCAUUUUUUAUUCUCUCCCUCAGUCUCUGCUGGAUCUGGUGCAUUCUCUUUAUAAGAAACUGCUAUUACAGUAGGGUGUCACUUCAAUCCCUGUUCACAGGUGUUACUUCAUAGUUUUUGGUUGGGUUUUUUUCACCAUGAGAUAAUUAAAACAUAAGAACAGAUAAUUUUGGGAUGGUUAAGUAAAGCCUUUGAGCUCUUUGUACUUCGGUACAAAUUUCCAGGUAAAUUUUUCAGUGCAGAAAUCUGUUCUUGCCCAGGGGUCAUACUCCAGUUCCUGUAGUCUCUGGGUCAGAGUGUUUUUUCUGACUUCAUCUCACCUAGGAAAGCAUGGGUUGUCUCAGUAAUGUUCAUGCCUGCCAUGAAUCUCUUAUUCCAAGGUCCCAUAUUUCUACACUUAGGGCUGUGGGCUCUGAAUAUAUUGCAAUGAAGGACCUGAAGCUGCCUAGGAUCAUAAAGUGAUGCCUUGCAAGCUUUGAAAUGCCUCCCAAAGGGUACUACAAGGAUCCUUGUAAGUACUGUCCUGCUACUGUCCCUCUUUGAGUAGGAUGGAGUCAUCUCUGGUUUUAUUACUCUCCUUUUGAGGAAAUAGGUACAGUCAUUGUGUGGAAAGACAGGAAGCUGGGAUCUUAUGACCUAAAAGGACAAUCUGCAUGAAAUUCUUGAAAGUUUUCCCAAAGAACUCCUCAAGGCCAGCGUGUAAUUUUGGAAAGAUUCAGUCCCUUCUAGUAAAUGGGAGUUUUUCUUUGAACAGUGGAACUCACCUGAUAAUUUUGAAGCAUUUGGACAGUUUUGUUGCAAGUUGCUAUUUUCAAGCUCAGUAGGAGGAUAUAAAAUAUGACUGAUACAUAACUCUUAGCGUGAGGCACCAGAAACAAGUCAAGAAGGCAAAAUGGAGAGCUAACUUGCUGGUUAUACUUCAUAUGCCAAACGUUCUUCUCCAAGCCGGA